CUCCGCUCCUGCUCCAGCAGCAAGAUAUGAUCCACCAGCAUGGAGGGUGUCCGAUAAGAUAAGUCUUAUAAAAUAUAUAGGUUUAUGAUAGUUAAGACUGAGUUAGCAGAUGAAAAGUCCUAGUUAUUGGCCAAGCAGCUUUAAACCUAAUACAAGUUUCUGUGUAUUCAUUUGGGCCUAACUCGGGCAGGCAGCUGGCAUAAAGCUCACACGUGGCGGUGGGGCUCAGGCGGUAUUUGGCAAAAAGAUUUAUCGUAACGUGGGGGUGGAAUUUUUUGAGGGGUCAGGGUUUUAUGUAGCUCAGACUGGCCUCAAACUCCCUAUGUAGAUGAGGCUGGCCCUACAUUCCCAAAUCAAAACUCUGAGCACUGGGAUUAUGGGUACACCCCACCACCCCUGAUUAGAGUACAUCAUGUCAUUGUUUCUCUUUUACUUCUCUUCCUCCUCUUCCUUCUCCUCUUCCCCCUCCUCCUCUUUCUCCUUCUUCUCCUCUUGUUGGUGACAGUAGGAGUUGAGAUAUGUCUCCAUAAAUCCCAGGAAUCAUUGGUGUAAGUUGUGGAAGCUUUUGAAGUCCUUAUGUUCCUGUCCUACCUCCUAAAUGCAAGAAUUCUUUGUAUGCUCAUGCCUGGCUCAGAUUUAUUCUUUCUGAAUGAACUGUGUCUUCUCAUGCCCUUAGACAUUGUUACUCCUGAUUUGGGGGCCCAUGGAUGCAGAAUGAGUCUUAUUCCAUUGGUAUCCCAAAUUCUCAGGUCUUCAGAAUCAGACAAAAGCAUACCAUGGCUAUUGUCCUGGGCUCCACUUGCAGCUGGCCAAGGAUUGGAUGUUUUUAGCUAAUUCUCACAUUAAUUCUCAGAUAUCUGUGCUAGACUUUUUGUCCUUGUGGUGAAAGACCUGACAUGCAUGGCUUCAGGGAGACUAACCUUUUUAAUUUGGAGGACUUACUUAUUUUGUCCCACAGUUGGCUUACUUAUUUUGUCCCAAUCUAUAGUUGUUGGCUCCACUGCCUCCAAGCCUGUGGUGAGGCAAUAUAUUAUGGUGGGAAGUACAUGUGACAGAAAGUACUUACCUCAUGGCAGUCAGAAAACAGUGAAAGGAAACACACAACGGGGGCAGGGCAAGAUAUAACAAGAUCACGGCCCUCUUCCUCCAACCAGACCCUAUCUUCUGUGGUUUUAACAUCUCUCACUUGUUCUGUUUACAUUAUAACUCUAUCUAUGGAUUAGUCAGAGCUCCUGUGAACACAUCACUUCCCAAGAUCCCAUCAGCUGGCAACCAAGAUGUCAGCACAUGAGCCCAUGAGGGAUAUUUCAUAUUCAAUCUGAUAUGUAAUCUAUUUCUCUGUUGGACCUGUUUCCUUGAAGUGCCUGAGUAAUGCAGAGAGUUAUUGAGUGAGUCAGACUGAGAAUUCCACAUCACUUAUUAAUGACACUGGCCAUGGUGUCAGAUUAGCAAACUUGCAGGCAGCAAGGGCAUCCAGGACUGGAACAGACAUAGCAUAAUUGAUAAACAUACCCACCACAGCAUUUGCUGGUUUUGUGACCAAGCUUCAGGCUUCUCAUCUACAAACCAUGUAAAGUAGUGUCUACCUUACUGGAUUGUUGAGGAGCUUAUUCUGCAAGACCCAAAAGGCACUUGGCUCUGUUCUUGGAUGAAUAUGAAAUCUAAACAAGUGACAACUAUUCCCCUGACAGAUUAGCCACAUUCCUGGCUUGCGACUCCUUGAGGGGAUAGCUAUGUUUUUGAGUUUGUCUCACUACAGCCAAGGCUAGCCUAUGGAACUCUUGGGUGUCCUGCCUCAGCUUCCCAAGUGCUAGGAUUAUAGGUUUAUUCUACCACAGUUGACUUAUAAAACACUUGAAAAAUAAGUUUCACAAAGAUCUCAAGUGAAUAUAAACUGCUAUAUCAGAGAGUUUUGGCAUUUGUGCAUAUACUUGAACCUGGAUACACUUGGAUGCACAUUUAUGUCUUCUUUAUCCAUUCAUUACUGUGUUGUUAUUUUACUAAUAUUUGUUGUUAUUAUUACUACUACAUUAUUAUUUUGUCUACUUGCUUUUGACAGUGUACAUACAUUGUCUUCAUAUUCUCUCCCUGAAGACAACAUAUACAGAGGGUCACACAGAGUGGGAAGUGUAAAUGACUUGUUAUGAUAAUGUUUGCCUUCAAAAAGUCCCAGGGCUCCAGAACUCACCAAACCCUAAGCCAAACCAGUUAACCAUCCAUUCAGGACCUACUAGGAGACUUUGCUCAAAUAUUAGCCUGGCUUUGUCUCCUAGAUCUGUAGUCUGGGGUCUCUGAGAAGACUCUAUCUUCUCUGUUUUCUCCUGGUGCCUCCUGUGAGGGUAAUUUCUCUACUACCACCACAUUAUUGGCAUUUGGACCAGACCAUUCUCUUUUGUGUUGACUGACCUUGUUAUAGGAUAUUUAGUGCCACACAGUCUUCCACCUACCCUCCAUCUGUAACAUCUGUAACACCCAUCUGUAACCUCCAUCUGUAACACCCCAAAAUGUUUCUAGGCAUAUCCUAGAGCUAAAUCAUCUCUGGAGUUAGAUCUCUGGUUUGGGAUUUUGCCAUCAAGGAUGCUAGGUGUAUUGAUCCCUUCCUACCUACAGCCCCAGAAUGGCCUUGGCUGUGCUUCAGCACCAUUCUAAAACCAUCACUUUCCCUGGGAGUUUAGUCACCAUAGAAAUGAACUGUAUUACUGAUCUCUAAAAUAGGGCACCACAACUGUGAACAGACAAAGCAGGCCACCUUUCCUCGGUGCAAUUGCAAGCGGAAUUAGAAAGAUAACUCCUGAGGCCUGGAUGGAUGCCUCAUUCAUCUUCACAGUGCACUUUUCAUAAUGGUGUACUCUGUCACCACAGCAAUGACAUUGAUUUCCACAGUCCUCUCCAGAGAGGAGCAGACAAUCAUCCAAAGGCAUGUUCAUCCAAAGGCAUGCCCACCACUCCCAGCUGGAGCCAGACCCCACCACUGGGAGUCAUGCUGCCAUACUCCAGGAUGAAUUCUGAGUGAGGUGAGACCAGAGAAUGAAGGCAACCAUCAAGAAAGAAGACGUUUUCCACUCAGUCAGAAGUGAAAAAUUAUCCAGAGGGCCAGGUUUUGUCUGCAGUCAGAGACAACAGGGCUGGACUUCACCGGGUACAGCCGGCAGGGCAUGUCACCCAGGCUCUUCUGCCUGCAGUAGGACACCUUUGAACUGGUGCUGCUGUGAGUAAAGCCUGCUGGCGCUGUCGUUGAAACUCACGUGUGCAAGAUUGCUCUAUCUUGAAAAGCAGAGCCUGGCUGAGGAGGUCAGGAGUGCUGUGCCCAAGGUACUGAGCCUUCCCCCAGCUGCUCCUGCUGAGGGCAGUCUCCAAAGGGCAUUGCUGAGCUUGGAGAUUUCAGGGCUAUAAACAGAAGCCACGGAUUACCUGAAAGCUGGUUGUGGAUGAAUACAUUCUUUGAACAGCCAUUGCACAAUUUCCCUACCUACAAAAGCCUGACUUAAGGAACAGUUGUCCUGGCCACACUCAGUGAACCUGAAUAUGAUGUAUUCAUCUUAGCCAUAGAAUCAAAUUUUCAAUGCUUUAUAUGGGAAGGUGUUUUAAUAUUUCCUGAUUUCUUUCUAGUUUGUGAAGGCUUUGAAAAAAAUCAAGAAGCCUUUUCCUGUUUUUUGUUAAACUCACUGAUUUACAAGAGAAAGUUUACUUUGUUUUUUAUUUAAUUAGUUUGAAUUGUUUUUAUUUUAUUAUUUCAUGUGUAUGGGUGGUCUGCCUGCCUACCCACAUGUCUGUAUGCUAUGUAUAUACCUGGUGUCUAGUGCCUGGCUUGGGAGAUGGUACAGAAGAAGAUGGUGGGUACCCUGGAAAUGGAGUUACUGUUAGUUGUCAAUUGCCACGUGAGUGCUGGAAACCCAGCUGAGGUCCUGUGAAAAAGCAGCCAGUGCUUUUAACUGCUAAGCCAUCUCUCUAGCCCCAUACUUUGGCCUUUUAGAUGAAAUGUCUAGCAAUAGUUUUAGACUGGCUUCAGUUCAUUGUACGAUCCCUAAGGUUCCAAUGGUUAAUUUUUUAGUGUAAAUAAUGUCAGCUUGAUGCCUGUGGUAGUUUUAAUGCAAUUGGCCCCUAUAAUCUCAUUAUAGGGAGUGGCACUAUUAGGAGGUGUGGCUUUGUUGGAGUAGGUGCAGCCUUGUUGGAGGAAGUGUUUUCCUUUAUAAGAGUUGCCAUGGUCCUGGUGUCCCUUCACGGCAAUAGAAACCCUAACUAAGACACUGCCUUGGAUGCCUAUGGCCAAAAUUGAAAGGAAUAGGACAGAAAGAGAACCCUGAGUGGCAGUAGGGGUAGCACAGGGGUUGGAACCUGGGGAAUGAGUACAGAAUGAGUACAAAGCAGCAUAGGUCAUAGAGAUGCUAGGGAUGGGGUAAGGGGUCAGAGAAGGGAGGGUGGGCAGGCACAUAGAAAGCGAGGCUGUGGCUAGGGGACAGAGAGGGCAGAGCAAGAGGCAAGAGUGAAGGAGUCGGGGAAGCAAGGGAGCAUAGUUUAGCAGUCAGAUUCUAACGAGCCAUCUUUGGGUGCCCACUUUCGUGCACAGUCCUCUACCACACUGAGCAGGGAUGGCCUGUGUAGCCAAGGAGACAGUGCUGUUUCCUCUUUGCACUCUUGGGUCACUUGUUCCAGAACAGUGGGAUGCCUUGUGGAGAAGUUCAAGCAUCCCUCAAGAAAGGCACUUGUGCUUUCAGAGCUUUGGCCUCUUGCCCACAGCCCUGGGGGCUUGCCUUCUGGGAAGCAGCUGCACUGGCUCAACUCUCCAACAUCCAGAAUCCUACAGGCAAAUCCUACAGGAGGAGCCAGGCCAGAACUGCCACCUCUGACCCACAGAUCCUCCUUGAGAUAAUAAAUGUGUAUCUUUAUGUUAAGCCCUCAAGUUUGGGGCUAUUUGGAUCUAUAAACACAGGGGAAACAUGGCUCAAAUGAGAACAGAGAGUCCACAUCCCUGCAAUUUCAGCUCUCCAGGCCUCUCCUGGGCCCUGCCAUGUGUCUUUGAUGAGCUGUGGCUGGAAGCCCCAUGAGCAAUACACAGUAAUGUGGUUUUUAUAAGUUGGAAAUUUUUGCCAAUUUGCUGAAUCAGUCAUUACAGAAAUAGAUCCUCCAUGACCUGACUUCUGGUAGACUGAUUUUCCAUGAAUAAUGUUAAGAGGCAAUACCUCAACUGAUUUUAUACCUGGAAAUCCUAGAACUGGGGUUUUAGAGAGCAUUUGGCUAAGCUAUGUUAAGGUAAGGCUGACAUAAAUGUCAGGGUAGCAGGUGACUGAGGGUGACUUCUCAGAGCCAUAUCAGGUGUCCCACAUCUCAUUGCAUUUAUCUAGGUCAUGGUAAAACAAAAAUAAUAGAUUUACCCUUUGAGAGGCGACAAGACUUACCCUUUCUUGAUUUCUGAUAAUCGAUUAUGUUUGGGAACACAUUGGGCUCUCUGGGAUGAUGAUUAAGAAUGUAAUUUGCAGGUAUAAUAAAAAGAGGAAUUGGAUUCAUAAAUAAAGUCUCUACAGAUGCUUAAUGCUACCUUCAAGAAAUUACAGGUAGAAUUCUCCUGCAAGUCCCAGAUGAUUGACAGCAGGCAAGCCAGCGGCAGCUGCCAGCAUUGUGAAGGGAUUGAAGAAGUCUACUUCACCCGCUGGAGACAAGCAAGGGCAAGACAGGGUUUCUCACACAUCACUGUCCCCCAAGGAUCAAGCCUGGGUAACACUGAUCUGUGGAACCCUCUCUGAGGAGAGGUUAUCAGCCAUUUUUAGGAGUGGAAAGAUGUUUUUAAGAAGGGCUGAAUAGCCGGGUGUUGUUGGCACAUGCCUUUAAUCCCAGCACUCGGGAGGCAGAGGCAGGUGGAUUUCUGUGAGCUCGAGGCCAGCCUGGUCUACAGCUCGAAUUCCAGGACAACCUCCAAAGCAAUACAGAGAAACCCUGUCUCAAAAAAGAAGAAGGGUUGGAGAGAUGGCUCAGAGGUUAAGAGCACUGGCUGCUCUUCCAGAGGCCCUGAGUUUAAUUCCCGGCAACCACAUAGUGGCUCACAACCAUCCGUUAUGACAUCUGGUGCCCUCUUCUGGUGUGCAGAUAUACAUGGAAGCAGAAUGUUGUAUACAUAAUAAAUAAAUAAAAUCGUUAAAAAAAAAGGAGGAGGGAGAGAAGAAGAAGAAGAAGAAGAAGAAGAAGAAGAAGAAGAAGAAGAAGAAGAGGA
rnacentral:lncRNA from 1 species